rnacentral:rRNA from 1 species
AGCAGUCGCCACGGUAAUACGGAGGGUGCGAGCGUUAAUCGGAAUAACUGGGCGUAAAGGGCACGCAGGCGGUUAUUUAAGUGAGGUGUGAAAGCCCCGGGCUUAACCUGGGAAUUGCAUUUCAGACUGGGUAAUUAGAGUACUUUAGGGAGGGGUAGAAUUCCACGUGUAGCGGUGAAAUGCGUAGAGAUGUGGAGGAAUACCGAAGGCGAAGGCAGCCCCUUGGGAAUGUACUGACGCUCAUGUGCGAAAGCGUGGGGAGCAAACAGGAUUAGAUACCCCGGUAGUCCCUGUCUCUUAUAC